AUUUGUAUAGUUUAAUUAAAACAUUAUAUUUUCAUUAUAAAAAUAUUUUAUAUAAUUACAAAUA
rnacentral:tRNA from 1 species